GAUGUGGAAAGCACGAGCCGGGAAUGGAAAGACCGGUACAAGCGGGGUAGGUGUACAACAGGCAAAUCCGUUGUAUAAUCCGAAGACGUGGUGUGGAGCGAAAUAAAGUAGUGAAGCGUGUGAGCCAUGUGCCGAGAAAAGCUGCUAUUGUGUAAUGCGUGCCCGUACCGUAAACCGACACAGGUGGAUGAGGAGAGAAUCCUAAGGCCGACGGAAGAAGCAUUGUUAAGGAAUUCGGCAAAAUGACCCCGUAACUUCGGGAGAAGGGGUGCCUGCGAGAGCAGGCCGCAGAGAAUAGGCUCAAGCAACUGUUUAGCAGAAACACAGGUCUAUGCGAAACCGAAAGGUGAAGUAUAUGGGCUGACGCCUGCCCGGUGCUGGAAGGUUAAGAGGAGAGGUUAGCGUAAGCGAAGCUUUGAAUUUAAGCCCCAGUAAACGGCGGCCGUAACAAUAACGGUCCUAAGGUAGCGAAAUUCCUUGUCGGGUAAGUUCCGACCCGCACGAAAGGCGUAAUGAUUAGAGCACUGUCUCGACAAUGCAUCCGGUGAAAUUGAAGUACCAGUGAAGAUGCUGGUUACCCGCGCCAGGACGGAAAGACCCCAUGGAGCUUUACUCCAGUUUGAUACUGGGAUUCGGUACUGCAUGUACAGGAUAGGUGGGAGACAAAGAAGGAUGGACGCCAGUCUGUCCGGAGUCGCUGUUGGGAUACCACCCCUGUAGUACUGGGUUUCUAACCAGUUGCCAUGAACUGGCAAUGGGACAAUGUCAGGCGGGGAGUUUGACUGGGGCGGUCGCCUCCGAAAGGGUAUCGGAGGCGCUCAAAGGUUCCCUCAGAAUGGUUGGAAACCAUUUGAAGAGUGCAAAGGCAGAAGGGAGCUUGACUGCGACACCGACGGGUGGAGCAGGUACGAAAGUAGGACUUAGUGAUCCGGUGGUAUAAAGUGGGAUUGCCAUCGCUCAACGGAUAAAAGCUACCCUGGGAUAACAGGCUUAUCACUCCCAAGAGUUCACAUCGACGGAGUGGUUUGGCACCUCGAUGUCGGCUCAUCGCAUCCUGGGGCUGUAGCAGGUCCCAAGGGUUGGGCUGUUCGCCCAUUAAAGCGGUACGCGAGCUGGGUUCAGAACGUCGUGAGACAGUUCGGUCCCUAUCCGGCGCGGGCGGAGGAUAUUUGAGAGGAGCUGUCCUUAGUACGAGAGGACCGGGAUGGACGGACCACUGGUGUAUCUGUUGUCGACCAACGGCAUGGCAGAGUAGCCAAGUCUGGAAGGGAUAAACGCCGAAGGCAUCUAAGCGUGAAGCCCCCCUUAAGAUGAGAUAUCCCUCCUUCGGGAGUAAGACCCCUUGAAGACUACAAGGUAGAUAGGGCAGAGGUGGAAGCAUGGCAACAUGUGGAGCUGACUGUUACUAAUAGGUCGAGGGCUUAAUU
rnacentral:rRNA from 1 species